UACGUAGGGUGCGAGCGUUAAUCGGAAUUACUGGGCGUAAAGCGUGCGCAGGCGGUUCGUUAUGUCCGUUGUGAAAGCCCCGGGCUCAACCUGGGAAUGGCAAUGGAAACUGGCGGGCUAGAGUGUGGCAGAGGGGGGUGGAAUUCCGCGUGUAGCAGUGAAAUGCGUAGAGAUGCGGAGGAACACCGAUGGCGAAGGCAGCCCCCUGGGCUAGCACUGACGCUCAGGCACGAAAGCGUGGGGAGCAAACAGGG
rnacentral:rRNA from 1 species